UUGAAAGGGAAACGAUUGAAGUCAGUCGUACCAGCGGGAAAUCAACCUUUCGAGUGGGGGGUUUUGGAGUUUCGAAGAGUGUCAAAACCUUUGAGAUUUCAAAAUAUUCGCUCUUUUGGUGUACUUUCUCGUGGGUAGGUUAACAUCGAUUUUGAUCAUCAUAAAAAGAUUGGAGGAAUGUAGCUUCGAUCUUGUAUUGAAGUGUUAUAGCCUUUGGUAAAUGUGAUGAUUAGGAUCGAGGAUUGCAACGAACACCCUUUUGGGCUAUCCGCCUGAUCUCUGAUACGUGGCCUUGGUAUCGAAAGCGUGCUUAUGGUAUUGAGGUAUUACGGUCAAAAGGUUAGAACGGAUAAUCGUUAAGGAUGUUGACGUA
rnacentral:rRNA from 1 species